rnacentral:lncRNA from 1 species
UCCACUCUAAGUUCAAACAUGUUGAGCUCGACCUCUUCUUUGUCCGCUAAUGGUUCACUUGUUGUUGGUGAGGUAUCGGCUUGUGAUUAGGUUGCUGACAUCCUCACCAAACCUCUAUAUGUUUCGUCCUUUGAGCGUUUUCGCAAUUUUCUUUAGGUUUUACUUGUGGAGAAGUUGGGAGAAUGUUAAGAGUCUAAGAAAGGCACUCUG